AAAAACCUUUUGUCUAUCUUCCUUCUAGCACUAACUCAAUUAUCCAAGUGCCAAUUUGAAAAGACCCAUUUAACCUUCUAACUUUGUCUGUUUUGCAGAUCACUUGCUAGUAUUCAACCCAUUUAACCUUCUAACUUUACCUAGUUAUAUCAGGUCCUGUGUUUUGGAUUCUGCUCUCUCUGUUCGAUAACACGACGAUUAAAACGACGGUUGCUUGGAAUUCAAUUUUGGCUGGCUGUUCUAAAAAGCGGGGGACAUCGAAUGAAGUCCGAGAACUAUUUGAUAAAAUUCCUGAGCCAGACACAAUAUUUUAUAACAGCAUUAGCUUGUUGCAUACAUAAUUCUGAGUUUCUGACAUGGAAAUGGCUCGAGCUUUUUUUGAUGGUAUACCCAAAAAAAUCAGCUUCCUGGAAUACAAUGAUUUCAGGUUUUGCCCAUAAUGGGCAAAUGGACAAAGCGCACGACUUGUUCUUGAUAAUCCCGAAUAAAAAUGUUGUUAGAUGAAAUGCAAUGAUUUCAGGAUACGUAGCAUAUGAUGAUUUGCAUUCAGCUGUAAAAUUAUAUCAAAUCGCACUAGUCAAGUGUGUGGUGACUUGGAUAACUGGAAACACGAGGCUUGGGGGGAUUGAGUUAGCAGAGAGAUUGUUUCAAGAA
rnacentral:misc_RNA from 1 species